UUCAAAAGCUUUAUUUUUAAUACAUUUGCAAACAUUUAAAAAUACGUUUUCCCUCUUUGUCAUUACGUGGUAUUGUGUGUAGAUUGAUGAGGAAAAACAUUGAUUUUAUCAAUUUUAGAAUAAGGCUUUGACGUAACAAAAUGUGGAAAAAGUCAAGGGGUCUGAAUACUUUCCCAAAUGCAACUGUACAUGCACAAAAAUGUGUGCACCCACUGCUGUAAAUUGCUCUGGAUAAGAGAGUCUGUUAUAUUACUCAAAUGUAAACAUACAGAUUGUGUCAGAAAAAGUUACUUUCAACUUUCCAAUGUUAUUUAGGUAGUCUACGCAAAUGAGUAUGGAAGCUGAUCAAUGUAUACAUGUGUUGACGUGAUAGCUCAGUUGAAACGAACACAGCUGGUUUCCAAAACGAAGCAGGGUACAUAGUGGUAGUCCCCUGGAAGCUAGACUUGUUCUCACUGAAGUGUAGUACCCCUCGUAUACCAGUAGGAGUCACUGUUCAGGCAAGAAUUGUUGGACUGUGGCUUCACUUUUUAUUUCAAUAUACCGCUUUAUUUAGGUUGAUGGCAUUGCAUUAAAACAAUGAUGUUGAUUCAAAUAUACCAUUUAACUAUCAACAUUGAAACCAGGUCAAAUAUGUCUAAUCAAAUAUGAAAUUAAACAAUUUCAACCACCCAAUAUAUAGUCUAUAGGAUAACAAAUGUUUUACAUAUCUACGUGCAAUUUUUUACGCUAAUUCUAAAUAUAAAGUGAUGAUGAUUAUUAGAUUAAGGAAACAACCUGUUAGUCAGGUUAAGUCAUAGUAUUUAAAUUACCCUAAUUUCAAUGGUUGAAAUGAGAUGAAAACAGUACUAGUUGGGGACAUAUUCCAAAUCCAAAAUGUGUUUUCUACGUAGAUUCCACGUCACAAUAUGUUGACAAAUGACAUUGACACAAUGUUGAUUCAACCAGUGUAUGCCCACUGGGGUAACACUUUACUAUAGCACCGACCGGACCGACAUCAAGUACAGCCGCUAAACAGGCUAACAGAUAGCAUGCUAACCAUGUCACUCUCCCAUUGAGAUAUAGCUGCUCCACAGGCUAACGGCUAGCAUGCUAACCAUGUCACUCUCCCAUUGAGAUAUAGCUGCUCCACAGGCUAACGGCUAGCGUGCUAACCAUGAUACUAUCUCAUUCAGGAUGAGGUGGUCCACAGGCUAAUGGAUAGCAUGCUAACCAUUUCACUAUCCCAUUCAGGAUGAAAACUUAUUCAGCCCUUGGAUGAACAACACUGAACAGAAGAUAGCUCUUCUAUUUCCUCUAUAAAAAUGUAAAAAAUGUCUAACAUCACUGGAUCAAGUCCAUAGUUCGUUUUUCAGCUAAAUGUGUAUAUAUAUAUAUACAAAAAAAUACAUUCCAUGGUGUAAAGGGCAAAAUCACUUGUCCAUACAAUCAGGAUUUUGCUGGUGAUAGCCUCCAUCUUACCUCCCACAAUCUUCUUCUGUGGAUUUUCUAUGAAGGUUGGCAACCAACAUUAAGGUGCAUUACCACCACCAACUGGAAUAGAGUGUGGGCCAGAGACAGAAAUACAUCCUACCAACUCCCGCCGUGGUUAGUGUUGGAGUGUACAGUACAUCUCUACACCUGUGUGAUUGUAGACUGGUAUUAUCACAGUGGGAGAAGAGAGGGCUUGUUGCUGGUGAGGAUAGAAGAAGGAAUAAAGCCCAUGACUCUGAGAGGUUUGGUCUGGUCUUUGGUUUACUGCGUUCCUAUGGCGUCACAGUACAAAGUCAUACUGUAGUAUACACUGAGUGGACAAAACAUUAAGAACACCUGCUAUUUCCAUGACACAGACCGACCAGGUGAAUCCAAGUGAAAGCUAUGAUCCCUUAUUGACGUCACUUCAAUCAGUGUAGGUGAAAGGGAGGAGACAGGUUAAAGAAGGAUUUUUAAGCCUUGAGACAAUUGAGAUGGAUUGUGUAUGUGUGUCUUUGAAAGGGUGACUGGGCAAGACAAAAUAUUUAAGUGCCUUUGAACAGGGUAUGGUAGUAUGUGCCAGGUGCAUCUGUUUGUGUCAAGAACUGCAAAGCUGCUGGGUUUUUCAUGCUCUACAUUUUCCCAUGUGUAUCAAGAAUGGUCCACCAACCAAAGGACAUCCAGCCAAUUUGACACAACUGAGGGAAGCAAUGGAGUCAACAUGGACCAGCAUUCUUGUGGAAUGCUUUCGAUUCCUUGUAGAGCGCAUACACAUAUACUAAUUGAGGCUGGUCUGAAAGGGCAAAAGCUGUGUGGGGGGGGGGACUCAAUAUUUUUAAGGUGUUCUUAAUGUUUUAAUGUCUUAAUGUUCCUAUGGUGUCACAGCACUGAGUACAGAGUCAUACAAUCCUAUGGUGUCACAGCACUGAGUACAGAGUCACAGUGUAGUAUACGAUCCUAUGGUGUCACAGCAGUCAUACUGUAGUAUAGUGUAAUAGUUUAUCCUCAGUUGACAGACAAUAUAGCAUACAGUUGACCUGUAGAGGUUUGUUUCCCCAUGACAACAGUCCUGAUGGAACACAAGGCCAAUGAUUGGAACAGGAGAGGUAUGUUUCCCCAUGACAACAGUCCUGAUGGAACACAAGGCCAAUGAUUGGAACAGGAGAGGUUUGUUUCGCCAUGACAACAGUCCUGAUGGAACACAAGGCCAUUGAUUGGAACAGGAGAGGCAAUGAAGCGGGGGGGGGAAAAAGAGAGCGUGACCAAUCAGAUACGAGGGGCUGUCUUUGGAACGCGUCGACAAGUCAGUCGUCAUAGAGAUUUGUGUGUGUACAGUUACAGUAUGUGUCAAUGUUUAGGAUAUAUAUUUUUUACAUAUCACAUCCACUGAUUUGGUCCUCUGUAAACAACAACUCCUCCACAUCCUCUUCCUCUCUUCCCUCAGAAGGAGGGGUCUCGCAAUGUGCAGUUCUUCAGAAGGCGGGGUCUCGCACUGUGCAGUUCUUCAGAAGGCGGAGUCUCGCACCAUCCGGUACAUCUGUAGUGAUGUCACCUCCACCUCCUGUGGUCUGGAGUUCAGAGCGUUCCCUGUGGGGCUGUAUCCUGCCGAGCGGCCCAUGGGGCUGAACCCUGUGGUGCGCCCCAGAGGGGUGAAAGCGGUGGAGCGCGUGAUGGCUGGACGGCGCAGGAAAUGGUUGGACGUCACCAGGUCCCCGUAGCCCUGUGCGUGCGAGAAGGCGUAUCCGGAGCGGCGGGAGCUGGUACGCCGCAUCCUGGCUCGUCGUGCUGGGAGAGGGGGCGUGGCCUUGGCCUGUCUCACCUUGAACAUCACCUGGUAGGGAGGGGAGUAGGACAGGAGAGCAGAAUAAGAUUAGAAAGUUGUGUAGGUCAGUAAUGAUUGCCUUUUUUAAAAUAGAAAGAACAAAGUAAAAAUAAUAAG
ensembl:lncRNA